rnacentral:rRNA from 1 species
GAGUGGCGAACGGGUGAGUAACACGUGGGUAACCUGCCCAGAAGUAGGGGAUAACACCUGGAAACAGAUGCUAAUACCGUAUAACAGAGAAAACCGCAUGGUUUUCUUUUAAAAGAUGGCUCUGCUAUCACUUCUGGAUGGACCCGCGGCGUAUUAGCUAGUUGGUGAGGUAAAGGCUCACCAAGGCAGUGAUACGUAGCCGACCUGAGAGGGUAAUCGGCCACAUUGGGACUGAGACACGGCCCAGACUCCUACGGGAGGCAGCAGUAGGGAAUCUUCCACAAUGGACGCAAGUCUGAUGGAGCAACGCCGCGUGAGUGAAGAAGGGUUUCGGCUCGUAAAGCUCUGUUGUUAAAGAAGAACGUGGGUAAGAGUAACUGUUUACCCAGUGACGGUAUUUAACCAGAAAGCCACGGCUAACUACGUGCCAGCAGCCGCGGUAAUACGUAGGUGGCAAGCGUUAUCCCGGAUUUAUUGGGCGUAAAGCGAGCGCAGGCGGUCUUUUAAGUCUAAUGUGAAAGCCUUCGGCUCAACCGAAGAAGUGCAUUGGAAACUGGGAGACUUGAGUGCAGAAGAGGACAGUGGAACUCCAUGUGUAGCGGUGAAAUGCGUAGAUAUAUGGAAGAACACCAGUGGCGAAGGCGGCUGUCUGGUCUGCAACUGACGCUGAGGCUCGAAAGCAUGGGUAGCGAACAGGAUUAGAUACCCUGGUAGUCCAUGCCGUAAACGAUGAUUACUAAGUGUUGGAGGGUUUCCGCCCUUCAGUGCUGCAGCUAACGCAUUAAGUAAUCCGCCUGGGGAGUACGACCGCAAGGUUGAAACUCAAAAGAAUUGACGGGGGCCCGCACAAGCGGUGGAGCAUGUGGUUUAAUUCGAAGCUACGCGAAGAACCUUACCAGGUCUUGACAUCUUCUGACAGUCUAAGAGAUUAGAGGUUCCCUUCGGGGACAGGAAUGACAGGUGGUGCAUGGUUGUCGUCAGCUCGUGUCGUGAGAUGUUGGGUUAAGUCCCCGCAACGAGCGCAACCCUUAUUACUAGUUGCCAGCAUUAAGUUGGGCACUCUAGUGAGACUGCCGGUGACAAACCGGAGGAAGGUGGGGACGACGUCAAAUCAUCAUGCCCCUUAUGACCUGGGCUACACACGUGCUACAAUGGAUGGUACAACGAGUCGCGAGACCGCGAGGUUAAGCUAAUCUCUUAAAACCAUUCUCAGUUCGGACUGUAGGCUGCAACUCGCCUACACGAAGUCGGAAUCGCUAGUAAUCGCGGAUCAGCAUGCCGCGGUGAAUACGUUCCCGGGCCUUGUACACACCGCCCGUCACACCAUGAGAGUUUGUAACACCCAAAGCCGGUGGGGUAACCUUUUAGGAGCUAGCCGUCUAA